GUGGUUCUUAACCUACUGGUGGGGCUUUACUGUAUAUCAAAUAACUUAUGCAUAAUGAAGUCUCAAGGCUUGAUGCCUGCGAGAAAUACUGGUCUUAAUAGCCAUGACCUGGGACAAUUUCGAUAGUGGCCAUUUGCAAUUGUUUCAUUUUCCUGGGCGAUGACUACUAUUAAAUUGAGCAGUAUGAUGCCCACAUUGGAACACACAAUUGUAUAUAAUAAUGCUCACAAUUUCUUUCUUAUUAUAUAUAUAUAGUCAUUACAAAUAAUGGUCAUCUGAAGCUGAUGUAUUAAACAAAAAUGUCAACAAAAUAGAUUUUGUCUCCCGAUUGGCAGAUUCAUUGUUCAGUUGUUCUACAGUAGGGGUAGCCUUGAAGGUGCCACUAAAAUGAUACAGUAGUUGGGAC